GACGAACGCUGGCGGCGUGCUUAACACAUGCCAGUCGAACGGAAAGGCCCUGCUUUUGUGGGGUGCUCGAGUGGCGAACGGGUGAGUAACACGUGAGUAACCUGCCCUUGACUUUGGGAUAACUUCAGGAAACUGGGGCUAAUACCGGAUAGGAGCUCCUGCUGCAUGGUGGGGGUUGGAAAGUUUCGGCGGUUGGGGAUGGACUGGCGGCUUAUCAGCUUGUUGGUGGGGUAGUGGCUUACCAAGGCUUUGACGGGUAGCCGGCCUGAGAGGGUGACCGGCGACACUGGGACUGAGGGAAGGCACAGGCUGCGACGGGUGCGAGCAGGGGGGAAGAUUGCAGGAGGGGCGGAAGCCUGAUGCAGAAAGGCCGCGGGUGGGAUAACGGUGUUCUGGGUGUAAACCGAAUGCGCAUGUGACGAAGCGUGAGUGAAGGUAAUGGGUACAGAAGGACCGGCUUAAUUCGUG
rnacentral:rRNA from 1 species